rnacentral:rRNA from 1 species
UAGAUAAUCUGCCUGAUGGUCCGGGAUAACACUUCGAAAGGGGUGCUAAUACCGGAUAAGCCCACGGGGUCUUUGGACUCUGCGGGAAAAGGGGGGGACCUUUAUCGGCCUUUUGUCAUCAGAUGAGUCUGCGUACCAUCAGCUAGUUGGUAGGGUAAUGGCCUACCAAGGCUACGAUGGUUAGCUGGUUUGAGAGAAUGAUCAGCCACACUGGAACUGAGACACGGUCCAGAUCCUACGGGG